rnacentral:rRNA from 1 species
GUAGGUGGCAAGCGUUGUCCGGAAUUAUUGGGCGUAAAGCGCGCGCAGGCGGUCCUUUAAGUCUGAUGUGAAAGCCCACGGCUCAACCGUGGAGGGUCAUUGGAAACUGGGGGACGUUGAGUACAGAAGAGGAAAGCGGAAUUCCAAGUGUAGCGGUGAAAUGCGUAGAGAUUUGGAGGAACACCAGUGGCGAAGGCGGCUUUCUGGUCUGUAACUGACGCUGAGGCGCGAAAGCGUGGGGAGCAAACAGGGAUUAGAUACCCUGGUAGUCCACGCCGUAAACGAUGAGUGCUAAGUGUUAGGGGGUUUCCCGCCCCUUAGUGCUGCAGCUAACGCAUUAAGCACUCCGCCUGGGGGAUACGGCCGCAAGGCUG